rnacentral:rRNA from 1 species
ACUCAAAUGAAUUGACGGGGACCCGCACAAGCGGUGGAGCAUGUUGUUUAAUUCGACGCAACGCGAAGAACCUUACCUACGCUUGACAUGCCUCUUUGGACCUUGAGAGAUCAGGGUUUUCGGUUCGGCCGGGGAGGACACAGGUGCUGCAUGGCUGUCGUCAGCUCGUGUCGUGAGAUGUUGGGUUAAGUCCCGCAACGAGCGCAACCCUUAUCGUUAGUUGCCAUCAUUCAGUUGGGCACUCUAGUGAGACUGCCGGUGACAAGCCGGAGGAAGGUGGGGACGACGUCAAGUCAUCAUGGCCCUUACGCGUAGGGCUACAAACGUGCUACAAUGGCGGUGACAGUGGGCUCCGAGGCAGCGAUGCCAAGGAAAUCCCAAAAAGCCGUCUCAGUUCGGAUUGUACUCUGCAACUCGAGUGCAUGAAGUUGGAAUCGCUAGUAAUCGUGGAUCAGCAUGCCACGGUGAAUACGUUCCCGGGUCUUGCACACACCGCCCGU